CUCUUCGGGGAUGAUUAAACCGGCGCACGGGUGAGUAACACGUGAGUGACCUGCCUUUUAGACUGGAACAACUUACCGAAAGGUGAGCUAAUGCCGGAUGAGUUAUAUAAGUGCAUGUUUAUAUAGGAAAAGUUGGGGAGACCUGACGCUGAAAGAUGGACUCGCGUCCCAUUAGCUAGUUGGUAGGGUAAUGGCCUACCAAGGCGACGAUGGGUAGCCGGCCUGAGAGGGUGGCCGGCCACACUGGGACUGAGACACGGCCCAGACUCCUACGGGAGGCAGCAGUGGGGAAUUUUGCGCAAUGCUCGCAAGAGUGACGCAGCGACGCCGCGUGAAUGACGAAGGCCUUCGGGUCGUAAAGUUCUUUCGACAGGGAAGAAAAUGCCUAUAAGUAACUGUGUAUGUAUUGACGGUACCUGUAUAAGCAGCCCCGGCUAACUCCGUGCCAGCAGCCGCGGUAAUACGGAGGGGGCGAGCGUUGUUCGGAGUGACUGGGCGUAAAGAGCACGUAGGCGGUGUUGUAAGUCAUUAGUCAAAGACUAGAGCUCAACUUUAGUAAGGCUAGUGAUACUAUAAUACUAGAGUAUCAGAGAGGAUUGCAGAAUUCCUGGUGUAGCGGUGAAAUGCGUAGAUAUCAGGAGGAAUACCGUUAGCGAAGGCGGCAAUCUGGCUGGAAACUGACGCUGAGGUGCGAAAGCGUGNGUAGCAAACAGGAUUAGACACCCUGGUAGUNCACGCUG
rnacentral:rRNA from 1 species